GCGGGUCAGGGCGAGGCGGCCCACGCCGCCGCCGUCGGUGUCCAGGCGCUGGGCCUCGCCGCCGUUGAAGCGGCGGGCCUCCUC
rnacentral:tRNA from 2 species